AAAAACAUGGCCUUUUGAUUUAAAUUUAAGGUUUAGCCUGCUCAAUGAAUUUUAAAUAGCCGCAGUAUUUUAACUGUGCAAAGGUAGCAUAAUCAUUAGUUUCUUAAUUAGAAGCUGGAAUGAAAGGUUGAAUGAGAAAAUAGCUGUCUCUAUAAUAAUUUUAUAGAAUUUUAUUUUUAAGUUAAAAAGCUUAGAUAUAAAUAAAAGACGAGAAGACCCUAUAGAGUUUUAUAUUUAUAGAUGAUAUUUCUUUUAGUAUUUUAAAAUUUAUUUUUUUAUAGUAUUUGGUUGGGGUGAUUAGAAAAUUAAGUAAACUUUUCUUGUUAAAAAAACAUUUAUUUAUGAAAAAAUGAUCCUUUUUUUGAGAUUAUAAGAUUAAAUUACCUUAGGGAUAACAGCGUAAUUUUUUUUGAGAGUUCUUAUCGAAAAAAGAGAUUGCGACCUCGAUGUUGGAUUAAAAUAAAUUUUUGGUGUAGAAGCUAAAUUUAAUUAGGUCUGUUCGACCUUUAAAAUUUUACUUGAUCUGAGUU
rnacentral:rRNA from 1 species